UUGGAAGUGCUAAAAUUGUCUAUAAACUGUAAAAAAGAAAAGAAAAAAAAGAAAUGACAACCGAACCAGUUACAACUGAAGUAUCUGAUCAUCAAUGAAUUAGAGAAAAAGCAAUUUGUUUUUUUUAACAGAGCAGCUGCAUAUCAUCAGCCUACAUGUAAAAUGUAUAGGCAUGUUGUUGAAGUGUCACUCCGGUGCUCGACUUUGCAGUCUACUAACCACUGGUCCUGGCAACCUUUAAGCACACCUGGACUUCAUUACCACCCUGAUUACUCUCCCCUCAUAGCAAAUUUCUGCCUCAGAAAGUAUGGCAGCAGAAGAUUUCACCAUCUUCCACACUGUCGAGAAACACGGUCAUCUACUCCACCAACACCAUGACCAGCUGGCUCUACUGGGUAUGACCAGGAAGGAGGUUCUCCAUCCCUCUGACUGAGGGCCUCCUGCUACGGGUCGUCACAAGGAGCCAGUGCCCCAGCCUACCCAGCCGUCCACCCAGGUCAGCGAUGCCCAACUGUCCCUUCUGGAGAAGUAUUACGGCACUCCAUCGAAAUGACGUGGCUUCCUACUCCAGUGCUCCCUCUAUUUCGCCUAUCAGAUGGGAGCCCCCCACUAAGAGGUCCAGGUUGCCACUGUCAUUUCCCUGCUGACCGGAUUGGCGUUGGAGUGGGCUACGGCCGUCAGAGAGAGGAAAAGCUGGAUUCCUAUUAGGGGUUCAUGGCUCUGUUCAGGGCGGUCUUCGAAGGCAGAGAGGGAGUUGAGUGACUUUUCCACCUUCAGCAGGGUGCCCAGACCGCUGCGGUGUACUCACUCACCUUUCAGACUGUGGCAGCCUUCAGCAGAUUAAAUGAGCCAGUGCACCCCACACUAUUCUGCAGUGGACUGCGCCAAGCGGUCCAGACAGAGCUGGCAUGUCAGGAUGACUACAAAUCCUUGGACUCUCAUCGCAAUGGCCAGCCCUCUGGAUAACCUUCUUCAGGAGCGCCGGUUUCCAACUUGCCACUCACCUCCCCUCUCUCCUUUGGCUGCCCUGAAGCAGAGCCUGAACCCAUGGAGGUAGGGAUCACACACCUCUCUGUGGCAGAGCGGCUUCACCAGAGAUAGCUGAGGCUUUGUCCCUAUUGCAGCCAGGAGGAGCACCAGCUUCAGUGGUGUCCGGUGCAUCCCAACCAGGGGUCCACUAGAGCAGAGGGGCAGCCCUGUGACCUUCUGUUUCCCAGGCUAGUCAUGAGAAUUCUGUUAUCAUUGUUCUCCGCCGAAACCUUUCUGGUUCCCAUUUCUCUGGCUAGCUGUCCCUCAAGUGUUGUUUCUACAGCUUUAGUGCUCCGGUGCCGUGGGGAACUUUAUCGACCAGGCCCUUGCCACCUUGCCUCCUCCCUGAACUUAACUUCAUACCCGCUCUCCUUUUCCUGUCCAAGUCCUGGAUAUGCAACCAUUGGAAUCCGUCACAGCACCACUCACCCUCACCGGGGACCCAACCACCAGGAAAUCCUUCCCUUCCUCAUCACUUUUUACUUACUUAAGUAUAACGAGUACUUUUUCUACCACUGUACUUACGGACAUUUAAAACCAGAUCCUUUAGACUUAAGUAUUUUACUGGGUAACUUUCACUUGAGUCAUUUUCUGUUAAGGAAUCUUUUACUCAAGUAUAACAAUUGAGUACUUCUUCCACCACUGUCCUCUUGUUAGUAGUCUAAAGUCAAAUUAAAAUGAAGACUGUUUAAAUGAAUAAGGGCUUCUCGAAUUAGCCUACUUUCAGUACCCCAUCUGCACGACUGCCGCUUCAUAGUAAUCUAAAUUACUCAAGUAUUGCUUAUUGUGAGGUCAAUAACUCGCAUAUACUGUAUAGCUUCAUUAUGGGAAACAAAACAUAUUUUUAUUAAAAUUAUGGCAGUAGCAAGCUUACCUCUGGUCCUCCAUCUUUGCGCUCUCCCUCUAAGGCUAUUCUUGACUGUCGUUAAGGGGGCUCUUGUGUCAAACGCCUGUUUGUUUGCAAUUUUAACCUGCUCUGCUAUUUUCAAACUUGUGCAAGGAUAGGUCACUUACCGGUCUUAUAUCAGCUCAGAUGGGAGGGUUGGACAUAUCUGACAUGUCCUUAACAUGAUGUAAAGUGCUAAUUUCAGGCAGCACUAGUAAAGAAAUUUAAGAACAACCAAAUGCUGGUUUAAAUGGUAAAGCGGUAUAAGAAAUGGGAAACAAGCAAUUGUUACAGGAAAAUAACUUAAAAAUACUAGGUUUGCCAGUAUUCACCAUGGUUCUCAUCUGUCAUUUCAUGAUGCGCAUGGACAUAGGCUACCCUUACCCAAGGCCUACUAUAAUGAAAGCUGGUUCAAUAGCAAUGUGUCCUGUCUUUUUCUAUCCUGAAGAUUUUUACAUUUUAUAUUAAAUUAUUUUUGAAAAAAAUCAUUAACAUUUUGUUGAAUUUUAAUAAAACCAAACAGAAUGA